rnacentral:rRNA from 1 species
CGGGCUAAACCCGCGUACAUGCCACCGGGGCAUCCCGGAGGCAGGAAAGGCUUCGGCCGGACAGGGAUGGGCAUGCGGCGCAUUAGGCAGUAGGCGGGGUAACGGCCCACCUAACCGACGAUGCGUAGGGGUUCUGAGAGGAAGGUCCCCCACACUGGUACUGAGACACGGACCAGACUCCUACGGGAGGCAGCAGUGAGGAAUAUUGGUCAAUGGUCGGGAGACUGAACCAGCCAAGCCGCGUGAGGGAUGAAGGUACAGAGUAUCGUAAACCUCUUUUGUCAGGGAACAAAGGCGGGGAGUGUCCCCGGAUGAGUGUACCUGAAGAAAAAGCAUCGGCUAACUCCGUGCCAGCAGCCGCGGUAAUACGGAGGAUGCGAGCGUUAUCCGGAUUUAUUGGGUUUAAAGGGUGCGCAGGCGGUCUGUUAAGUCAGCGGUCAAAGCCCGGGGCUCAACCCCGGCCCGCCGUUGAAACUGGCAGUCUCGAGUUGGAGAGAAGUAUGCGGAAUGCGCGGUGUAGCGGUGAAAUGCAUAGAUAUCGCGCAGAACUCCGAUUGCGAAGGCAGCAUGCCGGCUCCACACUGACGCUGAGGCACGAAAGCGUGGGUAUCGAACAGGAUUAGAUACCCUGGUAGUCCACGCAGUAAACGA